rnacentral:rRNA from 1 species
GUGGGGAAUCUUGCGCAAUGGGCGAAAGCCUGACGCAGCCAUGCCGCGUGAAUGAUGAAGGUCUUAGGAUUGUAAAAUUCUUUCACCGGGGACGAUAAUGACGGUACCCGGAGAAGAAGCCCCGGCUAACUUCGUGCCAGCAGCCGCGGUAAUACGAAGGGGGCUAGCGUUGCUCGGAAUUACUGGGCGUAAAGGGCGCGUAGGCGGACAGUUUAGUCAGAGGUGAAAGCCCAGGGCUCAACCUUGGAAUUGCCUUUGAUACUGGCUGUCUUGAGUACGGGAGAGGUGAGUGGAACUCCGAGUGUAGAGGUGAGAUUCGUAGAUAUUCGGAGGAACACCAGUGGCGAAGGCGGCUCACUGGCUCGAUACUGACGCUGAGGUGCGAAAGCGUGGGGAGCAAACAGGAUUAGAUACCCGAGUAGUCC